AUUUAUUGAAAGCAAAUGAUUUAAAUAUCAUGAGGGAAAUAAAAGGAGACAAGAAUUAGUGGAACACUCUACUGUGCUCCUGCUGUUUGGGAAGAUGUACUAUACAGAGUUAAUUCAACAAUAAACAAAGUCCCUGAGGGAUGGCCUAUACGAGUUGACAAGUUGAUUUAAAAAUUAAUUGAGGGAAUUAAACAGAAAUGUAAAUAUUCCAAUAACCAUCGAAUUAUACAUUUUAAAUGGAUGAAUCAUAUAUGUGAAUUAUAUCUCAAUAAAACGAUUAUAAAAAAAGAAUAAACAGGGAAUUUUUUUCUUUUUGAGACAGAGUUUUGCUCUUGUUGCCCAGGCUGGAGUGCAAUGGCAUGAUCUUGGCUCACCGCAACCUCCACCUCUCAGGUUCAAGCAAUUCUUCUGCCUCAGCCUCCCGAGUAGCUGGGAUUACAGGCAUGCGCCUCCAUGCCUGGCUAAUUUUGUAUUUUUAAUAGAGAUGGGGUUUCUCCAUGUUGGCCAGACUGGUCUCAGACUCUCAGGCUUAGGUGAACCUCCCGCCUCGCUCUCCCAAAGUGCUGGGAUUACAGGCGUGAGCCACUGCGCCUGGCCUAACAACAGGGAAAUAUUUUUCAAGUUAAAGCAAAAAAACAAGGUAAGCCAAGUAAAACUAUAUAAAAAUAUAUGAUUUUGGUGUUUACAGUGCAUUGGGUAAAAAAUCUUACUCAGAAACAGUAUGUAAAAUAUUUCGUUUUUAGAAAACCAUACAUUAAAUCAAUGGAGAGUGGCCAAAAAAUUUUAACACUGUUUAUCUCAAGGAGCUACAACUAUGGUAAAUAUUUUCCUUAAUAAUGAAAUGUGGAAACAUUCCUGAGAACAGAAAUAAGACGAAGAUGUCCAUUAUCAUCACUUGUAUUCAAUACUUUCCUGGUAUUCCUAACAAGAGUAAUAAGGCAAAAAAGUUGAAAUAAAAAUACUAAGAUUGGACCUAAGAUACAAAACUAUGUAUGUAUUAUUAACAACUCAAAAGAAUCCAGAGACAAGUUAUUAGAAUUAGUGAGUUUAGCAUGACUGAAUAAAUGGUCAAAAUAGGAAAACCAACUUUAUUUCUGUACACCAGCAAGAGUUAGAAAAUAAAACAUUUUAAAACAAUACCAUUUAUGGUAGCAUAAAAAUUCAAAUGUCUGGGGAAAAAUUUAAUGAAAAGAUGUCCAUGACACUUUAUUAUUUAGAGAAAUGAGAGAAGAGGUAAAUAAACAGAAGUACAUACCAUGUGAACUGAUUAGAUGACCCAGUAUUUUAAAGAUGUCAAUUCUCCCCUGAAUUGACUUAUAAACUCAGUGCAACCCCAGGCGCAGUGCCUCACGCCUGUAAUCCCAGCACUUUGGGAGGCUGAGGCGGGCAGAUCACGAGGUCAGGAGAUCGAGACCAUCCUGGUUAACACGGUGAAACCCCCGUCUCUACUAAAAAAAAAAAAAAUACAAAAAAUAAGCCGGGCGUGAUGGCGGGCGCCUGUAGUCCCAGCUACUCGGGAGGCUGAGGCAGGAGAAUGGCGUGAACCCGGGAGGCGGAGCUUGCAGUGAGCCAAGAUCAGGCCACUGCACUCCAGCCUGGGCGACAGAGCAAGACUCCGUCUCAAAAAAAAAAAGAAAAGGAAAAAGAAGAAAAUCUCAAUGCAAUCCCAACCAAAAUCACAACAGGCUUCAUAUAUAUGUGUGUGUGUGUGUGUGUGUGUGUGUGUGUGUGUGUGAGAGAGAGAGAGAGAGAGAGAGAGAAGUUGCAUGGUUAGGUGGUAAAAGCAGUGUUUGCCAUAAAAAUCAGGUCGUUGGUUAUUUUGGUUAUUUUGGUGGGGAGGGAGAGGUAGUGUUUGGAAGGGGACACGCUGGAAGGUUUUGGGACGCAUGGUAUACCCGUUGUCAAUGUAUGGCCUCGCACCUCCAAAUCCAUCCUUUAAUACCUGCUCUGCGGUCACAGCCAGAAUCCCCUUCCGCGGCUCCCCUCGCGGCGGGGAGGAUGCUGAACAGUAGAGGGCGCUGGAGACACGCUGCGGGAGGCUGGCGCUCGGGUC
rnacentral:lncRNA from 10 species